UUCCGCCGACUUCGUCCGUUAUUCAGGCCGCUGGCAUCGACUCCAUUUGGGGGUUAUCACCACCACGACGCAAAGUUCAUUAGUCGCCAUUCGUCGUCUCAACGUAUACCGUCCCUCUCCUCUCCCCCACACGCACACAUAUAUCACCACCAGCACCCGCCCUAUCCUCAUCCUUGUCUCUUCCUCCGCUAGUGUGUGUGUGUGUGUGUGUGUGUGUGUGUGUGUGGGUGGGUAUCGCUGGCUUCUCCGUGACAGCUUUCAUGACGGAGGAGCUUCAUCUUCGCGCCGCUGCCGUGCCUUGUCCUCCUCCUUUCUAGAUUUAUUAGCGCAUCGCCUCAUUGCGCCCCUCCCCCCCCGCGGCGUCUCCUCCUGUCUCUCCCCCUCAGUCGUUGGCAACCGCUCUUGCCGCCGCUUACCCCUUCUAUUACUCGCGCGGCACACGUCCCGCACGGCACCGCCUAUCGCUCCCUUUCACGGGGUUCUCGACGAAACGGCUGUCGCUUCACCGUCUCAGGUGUGUCACUGCUCUCCCCCGCACUGCUUCCUCGUACCCUUCACCCCCCCCUCCUCCUCCUUCUCCUCCUCCCCCUUUCGCUCGCCCGCACGCCAG
rnacentral:misc_RNA from 1 species